AGUGAACGCUGGCGGUAGGCCUAACACAUGCAAGUCGAACGGCAGCACAGUAAGAGCUUGCUCUUACGGGUGGCGAGUGGCGGGCGGGUGAGGAAUACAUCGGAAUCUACUUUUUCGUGGGGGAUAACGUAGGGAAACUUACGCUAAUACCGCAUACGACCUACGGGUGAAAGCAUGGGAUCUUCGGACCUUGCGCGAUUGAAUGAGCCGAUGUCGGAUUAGCUAGUUGGCGGGGUAAAGGCCCACCAAGGCGACGAUCCGUAGCUGGUCUGAGAGGAUGAUCAGCCACACUGGAACUGAGACACGGUCCAGACUCCUACGGGAGGCAGCAGUGGGGAAUAUUGGACAAUGGGCGCAAGCCUGAUCCAGCAAUACCGCGUGGGUGAAGAAGGCCUUCGGGUUGUAAAGCCCUUUUGUUGGGAAAGAAAAGCAGCAGGUUAAUACCCCGCUGUUCUGACGGUACCCAAAGAAUAAGCACCGGCUAACUUCGUG
rnacentral:rRNA from 1 species